rnacentral:rRNA from 1 species
CCGAGUUGUAAUUUGCAGAGGAUGAUUUUGGCGAGGUGCCUUCCGAGUUCCCUGGAACGGGACGCCACAGAGGGUGAGAGCCCCGUCUGGUUGGACGCCGAGCCUAUGUAAAUCUCCUUCGACGAGUCGAGUAGUUUGGGAAUGCUGCUCUAAAUGGGAGGUAUAUGUCUUCUAAAGCUAAAUAUUGGCCAGAGACCGAUAGCGCACAAGUAGAGUGAUCGAAAGAUGAAAAGCACUUUGAAAAGAGGGUUAAAUAGUACGUGAAAUUGUUGAAAGGGAAGCGCUCAUGACCAGACUUGGGCCCGGUGAAUCAUCCAGCGUUCUCGCUGGUGCACUUUGCCGGGCUCAGGCCAGCAUCAGUUUGCCCCGGGGGAUAAAGGCUUUGGGAAUGUGGCUCCUCCGGGAGUGUUAUAGCCCAUUGCAUAAUAUCCUGGGGCGGACUGAGGUUCGCGCAUCUGCAAGGAUGCUGGCGUAAUGGUCAUCAGCGACCCGUCUUGAAACACGGACCAAGGAGUCGUCUUCGUAUGCGAGUGUUCGGGUGUAAAACCCCUACGCGUAAUGAAAGUGAACGCAGGUGAGAGCUUCGGCGCAUCAUCGACCGAUCCUGAUGUUCUCGGAUGGAUUUGAGUAAGAGCAUACGGGGCCGGACCCGAAAGAAGGUGAACUAUGCCUGUAUAGGGUGAAGCCAGAGGAAACUCUGGUGGAGGCUC